rnacentral:rRNA from 1 species
GACGAACGCUGGCGGCGUGCUUAACACAUGCAAGUCGAACGGAAAGGCCCCUUUUGGGGUACUCGAGUGGCGAACGGGUGCGUAACACGUGAGUAACCUGCCCUUUACUUCGUGAUAACUUCAGUAAACUGGGGCUAAUACCGGAUAGGAAUCCUUGCUGCAUGGUGGGGGUUGGAAAGCUUCGGCGGUGUUGGAUGGACUCGCGGCUUAUCAGCUUGUUGGUGGGGUAGUGGCUUACCAAGGCUUUGACGGGUAGCCGGCCUGAGAGGGCGACCGGCCACAUUGGGACUGAGAUACGGCCCAGACUCCGACGGGAGGCAGCAGGGGGGAAGAUUGCACAAUGGGCGGAAGCCUGAUGCAGCAACGCCGCGUGCGGGAUGACGGCCUUCGGGUUGUAAACCGCUUUCAGCAGGGGCGAAGCUUGUGGUGACGGUACCUGCAGAAGAAGCACCGGCUAACUACGUG